UACGAGGGGUGCAAGCGUUGCUCGGAUUUAUUGGGCGUAAAGGGUAGGUAGGUGGUCUCAUUUGUCUGGGGUGAAAGCCUUGAGCUUAACUCAAGAAGUGCCCCGGAAACGGUGAGACUAGAGUCUUGGAGAGGGUCGUGGAAUUCCCGGUGUAGCGGUGAAAUGCGUAGAGAUCGGGAGGAACACCAGAGGCGAAGGCGGCGACCUGGACAAGUACUGACACUCAACUACGAAAGCGUGGGGAGCAAACAGG
rnacentral:rRNA from 1 species